rnacentral:lncRNA from 1 species
UAAAAUAUGACACUCACAUUGCUAUAUAAUAUCUCUUAUCGAUCACGUUAUUUUUAUUGUACUUUUCUCUUAAAAAGAGAGAUGUAAUUGGUUGAACAAAGAUAAAUUAGGGUUAUGAUAGGAAAUAACUGUAAUAAUUCUCAUAUCCUUAAAUAUCGAGUGAAUUAUGCCAUGUGUUUUUGUUGUAAAUGAGAGUGAAAAAUAUUGAUGGCAAUUUUACAAACACUUGGUGGGCAAUUUCACAACCCACUCUCUACAAGCAUCUAAUUGAGAAUCAAUCACAAGAGCAAUAACAAAAUAAACCAAAUCACAAGAACACAAGGAUUUACGUGGUUCGGCUAUGCCUACAUCUACGGGAGAACAAUGUAAAAGAAGCUUCCACUAUAAAUUUGGAGAUUACAAGAGAGAUUCAAAUGGGAGAAGUAUCACCUUAACUCCAAGGUAUAAAAGAGAACUCCAACAAUCUCUAGCUCUAUCCAAAUGGUAUAAACCACACCUCACAAGGAAGAUCUCACCUCCUUCUUGAUAGAACCAAGAUCAAAACCAAGCCUAGGAUUUUCUCUUUUUUCUCCAACUUCUUUUCUCACUCUCUACUUCUCUCUCUACUUUUCUCUCAUAUUCCAAUAUUCCACUUUAACUCUUUACGAGAAGAGGCUAACAAUAUGAGCCUUUGGAUCAAAAGAAACAUGAUUCAAAGGCUUACAAAUAGGGGACCCACAUACAUAAUAAAAAUAUAGAAAGAAGAGAUUUGGACUUCACCAAAUUACAUAGCCCAAAUAGUAAGGCCCAAAUAGCAAAUAGAUCCAAUGUAAUUAGCUCAAUAAUUUUCAUAAAAGAGAAAAUAAGAGGAAGGUAAAAAUAUAUAGAACUUGUCUAAACUAUAGAUCAUUUUGAAUCAACUAUCUAAUUUUUCAAAGUUUGGAUUUUAUUUCAACGAUGUUUUAACUUUAAAAUUUAAACUAAUUUCUUACUUUAAUAUAUUAUGGCUGCGAGAAUUGCAUGAAUCAUACCAACUAAAUCAGUAAAAAUAAACAAUACAUUUAAAUUUUUGAAGUUAAAGUAUCAAUGGCUGACUCAAAUCAAAAAAAUUGAAAGAUUGGAUAGUAAAAUUAAUAUUCUAAAAAGUUGGGUAGUCGAUUCAAAAUAGUCUAUUGUUCAGACAAGUUUAGUUUUUACCUAAAAGAAACAGAAAACAUGAAUUUGUAUUAUAGAAGUACGAUAUAGGGAU